rnacentral:rRNA from 1 species
UACGAAGGGGGCUAGCGUUGCUCGGAAUCACUGGGCGUAAAGCGCACGUAGGCGGAUCUUUAAGUCAGGGGUGAAAUCCUGGAGCUCAACUCCAGAACUGCCUUUGAUACUGGGGAUCUCGAGUCCGGAAGAGGUGAGUGGAAUUCCGAGUGUAGAGGUGAAAUUCGUAGAUAUUCGGAGGAACACCAGUGGCGAAGGCGGCUCACUGGUCCAUUACUGACGCUGAGGUGCGAAAGCGUGGGGAGCAAACAGG